CAAUAGCGUAUAUUAAAGUUGUUGCAGUUAAAAAGCUCGUAGUUGGAUUUCGGGGCAGCCUGGCUGGUCCGCCGCAAGGCGAGUACUGGUCAGCCGCCCUUCCUCUCGAAAGCCCCGACUGCUCUUUACUGCAGUGGUCGGGUAGUUCGGGACGUUUACUUUGAAAAAAUUAGAGUGUUCAAGGCAGGCCGUCGCCUGAAUACAUUAGCAUGGAAUAAUGGAAGAGGACCUCGGUCCUAUUUUGUUGGUUUCCAGGGCCGAAGUAAUGAUUAAGAGGGACAAUUGGGGGCAUUCGUAUUUAAUUGUCAGAGGUGAAAUUCUCGGAUUUAUGAAAGACGGACAACUGCGAAAGCAUUUGCCAAGGAUGUUUUCAUUAA
rnacentral:rRNA from 1 species